UGUCAUCGGAAUAAAUACACUACUAUUUGCAUACCUGCAAAUGUCUCACAACAUGGCCAGCAGCUUGACAUGAGCUGAUUUUAGCACUCUUCCUGCGUCCUUUGGAGGUAGGGGGAAACAGGUGAACCAACAAUAGAAUGCUUGACAGGUCACUGUCCCAGCCUAGAGGAAAACAGGAGAAAUAUAUCAGAUGCAUCGUAAACAAUUGAGACAUUUUU